UACGUAGGGUCCGAGCGUUGUCCGGAAUUAUUGGGCGUAAAGGGCUCGUAGGCGGUUCGUCACGUCGGGAGUGAAAACUCGGGGCUUAACCCCGAGCCUGCUUCCGAUACGGGCAGACUAGAGGUAGGCAGGGGGGAGCGGAACUCCUGGUGUAGCGGUGGAAUGCGCAGAUAUCAGGAAGAACACCGGUGGCGAAGGCGGCUCUCUGGGCCUUACCUGACGCUGAGGAGCGAAAGCGUGGGUAGCGAACAGG
rnacentral:rRNA from 1 species